AGGGUUUGAUCAUGGCUCAGAACGUACGCUGGCGGCACGCCUAACACAUGCAAGUCGAACGAAGUAGCAAUACUUAGUGGCAGACGGGUGAGUAACAUGUGGGUAUCUGCCCUUUGGCCUGGAAUAACACGAGGAAACUUGUGCUAAUACCGGAUAAGUCUUUACGGAGAAAGCUUUAUGCACCAUUGGAUGAGCCCGCACUUGAUUAGUUUGUUGGUGGGGUAAUGGCCUACCAAGACUGUGAUCAAUAGCUGAUUUGAGAGGAUGAUCAGCCACAUUGGGACUGAGACACGGCCCAAACUCCUACGGGAGGCAGCAGUGGGGAAUCUUGCACAAUGGAGGAAACUCUGAUGCAGCGAUGCCGCGUGAGUGAAGAAGGCCCUUGGGUUGUAAAGCUCUUUCGUCGGGGAAGAAAAUGACUGUACCCGAAUAAGAAGGUCCGGCUAACUUCGUGCCAGCAGCCGCGGUAAUACGAAGGGACCUAGCGUAGUUCGGAAUUACUGGGCUUAAAGAGUUCGUAGGUGGUUGAAAAAGUUAGUGGUGAAAUCCCAGAGCUUAACUCUGGAACUGCCAUUAAAACUUUUCAGCUAGAGUAUGAUAGAGGAAAGCAGAAUUUCUAGUGUAGAGGUGAAAUUCGUAGAUAUUAGAAAGAAUACCAAUUGCGAAGGCAGCUUUCUGGAUCAUUACUGACACUGAGGAACGAAAGCAUGGGUAGCGAAGAGGAUUAGAUACCCUCGUAGUCCAUGCCGUAAACGAUGUGUGUUAGACGUUGGAAAUUUAUUUUCAGUGUCGCAGCGAAAGCGAUAAACACACCGCCUGGGGAGUACGACCGCAAGGUUAAAACUCAAAUGAAUUGACGGGGACCCGCACAAGUAGUGGAGCAUGUGGUUUAAUUCGAAGAUACGCGCAGAACCUUACCAACACUUGACAUGUUCGUCGCGACUCUAAGAGAUUAGAGUUUUCGGUUCGGCCGGACGAAACACAGGUGCUGCAUGGCUGUCGUCAGCUCGUGUCGUGAGAUGUUGGGUUAAGUCCCGCAACGAGCGCAACCCUCACUUUUAGUUGCCAUCAUUAAGUUGGGCACUCUGAAAGAACUGCCAGUGAUAAGCUGGAGGAAGGUGGGGAUGACGUCAAGUCCUCAUGGCCCUUACGUGUUGGGCUACACACGUGCUACAAUGGUAUCUACAACAGGAAGCAAGACUGCGAGGUCAAGCAAAUCCUUAAAAGAUACCUCAGUUCGGAUUGCACUCUGCAACUCGAGUGCAUGAAGCUGGAAUUACUAGUAAUCGUGGAUCAGCGUGCCACGGUGAAUGCGUUCCCGGGUCUUGUACACACCGCCCGUCACACCAUGGGAGUUGGUUCUACCUUAAGGCAAGGUUUCAAACCCUUGACCACGGUAUAGUCAGCGACUGGGGUGAAGUCGUAACAAGGUAGCCGUA
rnacentral:rRNA from 1 species